GACAGUGCAGUGAGGUGUGUGUGUGUUUGUCUAGUUCCUGAGAACGGUGACAGUGUUUCAUCAUAAGAGGACUUUGGAUGUGAAUUUUUGGUGUCACUAAUACGACGGGUUCCUCUGCAUGGAGUUGUGCAGCUGUAUUUGUUGCGUUGAACGAUUAGCCCGUUGUGACACUUUGGUUCCCGUCAGAUCGAUGGAACCAACAUGCUGUUGGAGGUGAGGAAGUAUAACACUGAGUCAUAGGUCAGAUACGAUCUCUACACUUUACUUUUUUGAACAUUUUAACAGCAAGUUGAUUUGUUAACACACACCCUUCACUUUUGACACGAUCAGCAUACCUCACAUAAGAAACGUUCUGGAGUUAAAAACAAGUCUGAGGCCUGAACUUGUGAACACAAAGUUUCUUUGUUAAUGAGAAGCUGAUUAUUUGAUCAGCAGGUAGAUUAUUUUCCUUCUCUCUAUGACCACACCAGUAUCACAUCCCAUUUUUGCCUGAAACUAAAUAACUACUGAAUCAAAUGCUGGACAAAUCCUAAACUAUGAUGAUCAUUUACUCCUGAUUCGUGCUCACUAGCCAGUUUUAACACACUUUAACAGAUCUGCUUAGUGUCAGGUGUGAGUUGUGUUUGAAGUGUUUUCAAGCCCCAGACCAAAUGUUUACAGAGCUGUACCAUAAAUCGGUAAAAGGUUCUCCGCAGCGUUGUGGACAGAGUUCAUCUCUGUUUUGGUUGGUUUUUCUGUCAUGAGGGUUUCUAUGGGAUUAGAUUUGUGCCAAUAGGAUCAAGAAAAAAACAGGAGAUCAAACAAAUUUUAAGACAUUGAGAGAAAAAAAAAUUGUUUCAAAAGAAAAACUUAUGAUCUGAAUCAGAUUUAAAAAUUGACAGAACAAAAAUAUUGACUAAAGGAAAAAACACGUUUCAGAAGUAAAACUUGCUAUCUGAAUCAACUUCUUAAAAUGAGUAACAAAGUACGUUUCCUUUUUCUGUUUGCCUCUAUGUGUUUUUGUCAUCAGUUUCCUUAGUUUCAUUCUCACUGCUCACAGCUUUGCUCUCACUACCAGAUUUGCACUUACACUUUCUGGCUUUCUCCUUUGCAAUCCCUGAGUUUUUGGUUGCAAUUCUGACACAACCCUUUCGGGUGGGUGGGACUUCUGAGAAGUCCUCUCCCAUAGGACAGUGGUUUCUCUUGAGUGACAGUUCAGUGACCCAGAAGUGAUGUAGUCUCCAAGACUUUUUUUUUUCCACCUCGGUCAACAACGUGAAUUUUGAGCCCCAAACACAUUAUUUCUGCUGUCUGUGGUGUCUACUAAGGAUCUAAAGUGAGUAUUGAUAAUAUAUUUCAUCUUUUCUUAGUUAAUCUGUAAGUUAAGCCACUUUUUAAGUUGGUUUUAACCAGACGUUAGCUCACUAGCUAGCUGCUAAGCAAGCCAUUGUGCUAGCCUCAGGACAAUGGACUAUUGUUCCAGAGAGACGUAUUAAAAACUCAUCUUAACAAAUUCAUUACUGGUUUCAUGGAAUUAAUUAUUGCAGUUUAUGUUAAUAAGUUUUCUAAUUUUUCAGGAACCUGUGGAACAUCAGAGACUUUGCAGCUAUUAGAGCUAACCUGUGUACUGCUAACUUGCUACAGAGGAAGCAGCAGAAAGCUGAGCUAACAGGCUGUUUUGCAGGUAAAUACUCUUUUAGUGGAACUGCAGGAUUUUUAUGGUAUAACUCAGACAGAAUCUACAUGAGCUAUUGUGGGAAGACAUUUAAACUACAUUUACAUACAGAUACAUGUAUUUUUUAUUCCAUGUUACUUGGACGGGCUAAACAAGUUCAUAGUUCUGCCUGCUCCUUUUUCAGUGAAACGAAUGGAUUAUAUGAUGUAACUCUGACUGAAUAAUUAUCCAAAUUGAAAACUACUGCAUUGCAUUACAAUGGAAGUGCUACACGGCCACAUGCAUCAACUGCAGCUGUUGACAAGCAUAUGGACCUAUUGAUAGUCUGUGGUGGUGGAUGCUCUAUCAUAUCAGGAGUCUGACUAAGUCCCUGUGCCUGAACCUCUCUGUGUCUAGUUCAAAAGACCUGCUGUAAGCAUGCACAGGUUAAGAUUUUAAAAGAACCUGUAAGGUUGCCUGAUGCUGAACUUAGGGCAGCUGCGUGUACUCCCGUGGAACAACCGCCUGUGGGAGGAGUCGUUGUGUUGCUGUUAGGAGUUUGGGUCAGAGUCCUGGGUUUGUGUUCCCUUUAAUCUCUUCAUUAGCCUUGCUAGUCACCAUUGCAAGGCACCAUGGAGAGGCUUACCUGAAAACUCUUCUCAUGGGGCAGGCACAUCCUCACACACCUGUAACCCUAUCCUUGAAUAAAAGCUGGUAGCUGGUCACUCAUCAGAGUGUUUUAACCCAUAUCUAGCCCCUGACUCUGCCGUUUUUCAAACUUACGUUCUCAUUUUAUAUGCAGAUCUAUGGGAAUUCUUUCCUUGAAGCUCUUGAUCACACAACCAUACUGGCAGUCUGCUUACCCACUACCUUCUGCUCACCCGCUUGCAACUCAUGCUGUCAUUCUCCCAGACUUCUGGUUGUUUCUCCACCAUUCUGCUGUCUCCCGUCUGCGCUACAACUUCAGACCGUAAAUACCUAAACUUUUCCUUUUGUAAGUCAUUCUUUAGUCAUUACUAACACUCAAUUUUACCUCAGGGCCUCCUGAUCUUUAAACACUAAAACCUGUGCCUCCCUCUCUGUGGCGUUUCUCAGUCUCUGUAAGCUACCUGCACAGUCUAAGAAAAACCUGACCUGUUUCCUCUUACUAACCUCUGCUCUUCCUCGCAGAAGCUUCUGGUUCCUGAUCUCCAGCAGUUACCUCUUCAGUCAUCCGUCAAACAUUUUAAUAAACAGUUUUUAGCUCAUUUGUCUCCUGAGUUUCUCUGCAUGAAGGUCAGGUUAUUGCAAAAAUCAUGACAUCAGCAAUUAUUUUGCACCACUCUGUUAAACAGCUGAUAUUAAUUUCAAGUGUAUCUUUAAAAAUACAUUGAAUGUCAAAGUGAAUGAAAGGCAUCCAUUCAGCUUUCAGUGUCUAAUGCAGGAUUUUAUGGACAGGCACCAAAACAGGAAAUUUAUAAAUUGAGAUUUAUUUACUAAAUCAGGUAAACCAUAAUAAAAUACUAAUGUUUAAAGUCCAGAGGAGGGAGGAAGGCUUUAUAGCAGGGGUUUUCAAUUCUAGUCCUGGAUGGCUGGUAUCCAGCACGUUUUAGUUGUUUCCCUGCUCCAACACACUUGAAUCAGUGGUUGAAUUACCUGUGCAGCAGCUCUGCAGAAGCCUGUUAAUUAUCUGCUGACUGAAAUCAGGUGUGUUGAAACAGAGUUCAAACUAAAACGUGCUGGAUACCGGCCCUCCAGGCCCAGAAGUAAAUACCCCUGCUUUAUAGGCACAGAGAACUCCCAUCAUGAUCCUGGAGACGGCACAAGGAGAUGAUGACAUGAGUGUGCCCUCCCAGAUCACACCAACACCACCUGACCACAUGGAGGCAUGUGUCUGUAAGAAAGAAAAACUGGUGAUGUAUGAGUUCUAAAAAAGUAUGAACAAAAUCAAUUGUACAGUUGUUUAACCUGCUGAGCAUUGGCUCCCCAAAGAGCAGCACAAAGGUGCAGCUGGCACAGAACCAGGGUGCUCCAUUAUGCAGGUGGUCACCACCUCCUGCUGACACCCGAGGAUUACCUACAACAAAGGGAAAACUGAUUUCAAUAAGGAAAUAAUUAAAUCAGAGCUAAAAGUUUAAUUUUAGUGUGACGUUUGAGAUUGUGUGAAAUAAAUGUGGACAUUAUGAUUUUCUAUUGUGGGCUCAGUACCUUGGGCGUUUCUCUGUAGCAACAUUUUGUCUGGCUGACAAUGAAGUAGAAAAGUCACCAGUUGAGGAAGAGUUAGACUAUAUUAUAUUUAAGCUAAAUGUAGCUAAACUAGACACUAGUCACCAGACUAUAGUUACUAUAGAUUUUAUUAGAUUUAAUGAAGGCAUCAGCUGUGACAUAGAAAUUGGUGUGUGUUUAUGUAUGUGUUAGGUGUGACAGAAAAGAAGAGGGUUCUAAUUAUUUCGAUGCCAAACAAGCUUGUAAAAUAAAAAUGCUUGUGGUGCAUUACCUAGAUCAGUGCUAGAUGAGUUUUUAAUACGUCUCUCUGGAACAAUAGAUCUUUGUCCUGAGUCUAGCACAAUGGCUUGCUUAGCAGCUAGCUAGUGAGCUAAAGUCUGGUUAAAACCAACUUGAAAAGUGGCUUAACUUACAGAUUAACUAAGAAAAGAUAAAAUAUAUUAUCAAUACUCACUUUAGAU